rnacentral:lncRNA from 1 species
AAUUUUAAAAUUUUCUAGAUUAAUUUUAAAAAAGUCAAAAUAUAUCUUAAAUUUUAAUUUUAGUACGAAAGUGAAUAUAUUAUAAUAAUAGUGUAGCCGGGUAGGUUCUCCUGAAAAAGAAAAAAGAAAGGCCAAUUAAAUGGAUCUUUUGGUCCGGCCUGUGAUGACCCGAACCAUGACAAAUCCAGAUUGCGAAGAAUAAGGACAUUGUGGUAAUUAAGCCACAGCGAGAAAAUUAGGGCUCCAAUGUUACAGUCUUGCAGAUCCUCUCCUCCUCCCCUAUAUAAUGAUUUCAUUCAGAGCUCAUGAAUUCAUAUCUCUGUGCAAGCGGCGUCUCUCUCUCUCUCUCUCUCUAUAUAUAUAUAUAUAUACAUCUCUGUAUGUACAUAUAUGUAUAUCUAUCUCUUUAAUCUUUAUGUCGAAACCAUACAUAAGAGGGGGUCUAUGAUGUAUGAUGAAUUGUCCGUACCAUCCGAGGAUCUCUUUUUGAAAUCCGUUGAAUUGCAAUCACAUCUAUUUUCUGAGGCUUCUUCUUCCGUCUGAAUCUGUUAAAAUUUCAAUCCUUUCUAUAUCAAUUGGGUUUCUAAUUUGAUUUGUUAACAACUAUAGACAGAGGCGGUGAUGAUGAAAAUUAUACCAUCAAACUUUGAAAGCUUAAGAGCUUGUUGAUGCCAACAAUAAUCAUUACAACCUGAGCCUCCUAGUUUAUGUUUUUUCUUAUUUUAUUUAAUAUUUUUUGCUCUGUUAAUACAGUGUCGACACAGAUCGGGGUCGGAGUGAUCUAUAAGACUUGAUGAAAAUCAUUGUUGUUGAAACAAAAUAUAAUAGUAUAAAGUAUAAAUAUUUCUUAACAUUAUCAACUAUUUAUUUAUCUAAUUUGUUGAUAUCCAAUUCAUUAGUGAUUGAAAAUGGCAUCAAUUUAGAGUCUCUGAUGCGCUUAUUUUAAUAGUGCUUACAGUGCUCUACGUUGCCAAUAGAAGUUUUGGGAACUGAGAUUCUGGCCCUGCCUAUUUUCUCUGUUGGGUUUGUGCAUUCAGAUGUUCCUACAUUUUAUACAAUUGAAUCACAUAGGGAUAUCCUUUCUUUUCUUUUCUUAAAUUUUUGUUUUUAUAAGGUUAUGUUUUGUUUUGUUAUCGGGGUUUAGAGCAGUAGCUUUUGAUAUAUUUAGAAGUUCAAAUGUCGUCACUGCUUUGCGUUUGGACCAUACAUACUGUUUAUUUAUGAUUUAAGCAAGCUGCUUGGACCAUAAAUAUAGUUUAUUUAUGAGUUAAGUAAGCUAUAAGUUGUUUGUAUAUGAACAAGAUUUUCUUGAAUUAAGUAUGUUGCGUUUGAAAUAAGCAUCAUUUGAAAUUAGUUCAUUGUAAACGAAUAAAAUUUCCAAUAAUAAACACAAAUUAGUUUGUUAAAAAAAGGAAAAUUGUUUUUUGCUACAUUUUCUACAAAUUAGUUUGUUUUUCAGAAGUUUUUUUGGUUCACUUUCCGCAAACGGAACACUAAUGUUAGUUUAAUGAAUUGCUAAUUAUAAAAUUUGUUAGUUUUAAAUUAAAUAGUUUAUUAAUCUGAAUGUUUAAUUUAGCAAGUGUCAAUUUUUUUUUGAAAUUCCUAUUUUUUAUUUUGUGUUGAAUUUUGUUUGAAAGUGUGAGUUUGAAAAUAGUCGACAGUUGAUAAUUUUGAAAUAGUUGUACCAACUUAAUUGAAUUUGAAAAGAUUUACACAAAGAUUCAAUUGUUGGACAUUCUUUAAUCGGUCUUGAAAAUCGAGAUUCAUAGAGUUUGAUGGCUUAAUUAAGCGGAGGAAUGUGUUAGGCAUUUCUCGACUUUUCUCAAAACACGGUUACCAUGUGAUACAAAGAAGGUUUUAGACCGUUUUUGGAACUUGAAAAUUCAGUUUUCACAGAUUAAAACUUGAUAUGUCGUAAUAUACAUGUAUACAAGUGUUUAGAAAGAAAUAUUGAAGUUUGGAGCACUAUAGGAGGGUUUGGAGCACUAUAGGAGGGGUUAGAGCUGAAAUGGAUAUAGUUUUCUCUUUUUUUUUAUCUUCUUUUUGGCUUCAAGUUUUUGCAAUUAAUCCGUUGUGCUAUCUUGUGUUAUUUUCACUCGGGAUUAAUGUCAUGGUUCUGCAUGACUUCUUUUGUAAUGAUUUGGGUUUUAAGAUUUUGGUCUAAACAGGAACCUUUUUAGAGGAUGAUUUAUGAUUCAAAUGAUUAAUUUAGUUCUGAAGUUAGUGUAUGAUUCAAAGGAUAAAACAGGUUAAAUGUUUUAAUUUGUUUAGUUUAAUUCUUUUGUUUAAUUUUUUUAAGAGUUAUUUAGGUGUCAGUAGCAAUUGAUUGCAAUAGUCAUGGUAUAUUCAUUCACUGGAACACCCAAGAAACCCAUUUUCUUAAACAAAACAAUUGCAGAAUCGUAAUGUUUCAUCUUGGAAAUAAUCAUUUUUCUUAUACAUAAUAUGUUUGUGUGUAUAUAUAUAUAUAUGUUUGUGUGUGUAUUUUGAAUCAAUCAAUUAUUGGGGCAGAUCUCAAGAUUAACUAUAAUUAUUUGAAAAAUCUAAGUUUUUAUGUUGAUGGUUUAUUUUAUUUUUUUGAAAUCUUGGUGUGUUGGUUGUGAUAAUCAUUGAUGUCCGAUGAUGGAGGCCAAGUCACUUUUAGUAGAAUUUUCAAUGCAACUUAACUUAAUCAUUAGAUAUAAGGAGGUAACAAAAGAUGAACAUGGAUUGGAGAUUGAAUUUUUUGGUUUAAUUAAAACGAAGAUGAAGUUAAAGAAUAAAACAUUGAAUGAAAUGAUUCUUACCGUUUUUCUUGGAUUCUAAAUGGAACUCUUGUGCUUGAAUAAUUUUGUGUCCAGGCGUGUCAGAGUUCUCUAAACUAACACUGUCAUUCAAUAUCAGUCAACUAGUUAGUCGAAACUGGUAAGGUAAUUAAAGAGAAGAAAGAAUUUCUUCUUUAGUGGGUCUUUUUGUCUAAGGAAUUCAAUGUUAAACAAAUGGUUUUAAAGUUAACUGAUAUUAAUUGCCAACUUGUUAAUUCAUAAUCAAAGUUAAACUAAGUAAGAUGACUGCUUAUCACAAAGUUAUAUAUUCCUUAUAUAGAAUAAACAACUUUUAAAUAAUCAGGUCAGGAUAUGUCUAGUUUAUCUUUCAAUUUACUAUUAGUAUUUAUUAUAUUAUAAUAUGUAAUUAAUUUAUAAUGGGGAGUUCCCUUCAUAACAAUGUGUUACAUCAGACAACUAAUCUUUUCUUGAACAUGAAAAGUAGACAUCUGCAUUCAAAGUCCUAGUUAUUACUAAUUUACCUUAUUUUUGUUUUAUUGUGUUUGUAAUAUGGAGGGGUAUACUAAAACAUAUAUGCAGAGGAUGUACAGUUGUAUAUAUGAAAGAACAUAAACAUUCACUUUGAAAAAGGAAAGAUAACUGCUUAUCAAUAAGUUAUACACAAGGCAUCAAAUUCUUCAGCGAAACAACAAGACAUUCUCAAUCGACAGGAGUAUGCACAGCAGAAUCAUAAAUAGAUUAUCUAUGUACCUAGAAGAAGA